AAACCAAGUCAGAGAACUACAGGGAGUGGCAGUUUCAUUUGAGAGGAGACACCCAACAGCCACUACUAACCUCCUCCUCUCACUUCUCUAGAAGUUUCCUGACAGCCUUUCACAACAUCUUUGUAUAAUAUUUGCUGGUGAGACUCAUGCAAAAUUCUGAACUCAGAGCAUGGUUCUGACAGCAGUGCUGUAGACAUGGUCUCUCAGCAUCUCUCCAGCACUGCUUGUUUCUGACAUGCUACUGAUAAGCACUGCAGUGUGAGUGAUGAACAGAGGGCAUUGCUGUGACAAGCUGAAAGAACUCAGGUGGGACCUCUCUGCUUCAUGGACACAUUUUAUGGCAUCUGGAAAGACAGGAGCUUAUCAUGACUGCCCUCAAAGAACACCUGAAAGACCCUGAUGCAUAUACUUAGACCCAACCAAUGGACAGAAGCUGCUGACCCCUGUUGUUGAAUAAAGGAAAGGCUGGAAGAAGCUGAGAAGGACUACCCCAUAGGAAGACCAGCAGUCUCAAAUAACCUGGACCCCCAAAAUUUCUCAGACACUGAGCUACCAACCAGGCAGCAUAGACUAGCUGAUAUGAGGCCCCGACACACAGGUAGCAUAGGACUGCCUGGUAUGGCCUCAGUGAGAGGAGGUGCACCUAACCCUCUAGAGACUUGAGGCCCCAGAAUGUGGGGAGGUUUGGUGGUAUGGGGGUUGAGGGGUGGGGCUAUCCUUUUGAACUCAAGGGAGGAGGAAUGGGAUGAGGAACAGUUGGAGGGCAGACUGGGAAUGGGAUAACUACUGGAUUGUAAAAGAAGAUUAAAGAAUAAUAAAAAAAUAUUUUUUAAUUACCAA
rnacentral:lncRNA from 1 species